AGCAGCCGCGGUAAUUCCAGCUCCAAUAGCGUAUAUUAAAGUUGCUGCAGUUAAAAAGCUCGUAGUUGAAUUUCGGGACCAAUAUGUUGGUCGUGCCUCGGUACGUACUGGCAUUGUUGGUUUCUACCUUCUGACGAACCAGGAUGUCAUUUAUUUGGUGUCUUGGGAAAUCAGGACUGUUACUUUGAAAAAAUUAGAGUGUUUAAAGCAGGCUCACGCUUGAAUACAUUAGCAUGGAAUAAUGAAAUAGGACGUUUGAUUCUAUUUUGUUGGUUUCUAGGAUCGACGUAAUGAUUAAUAGGGAUAGUUGGGGGCAUUAGUAUUCAAUUGUCAGGGGUGAAAUUCUUGGAUUUAUUGAAGACUAACUACUGCGAAAGCAUUUGCCAAGGAUGUUUUCAUUAAUCAAGAACGAAAGUUAGGGGAUCGAAGACGAUCAGAUACCGUCGUAGUCUUAACCAUAAACUAUGCCGACUAGGGAUCGGAUGAUGUUAAUUUUUUAAUGUACUCAUUCGGCGCCUUA
rnacentral:rRNA from 1 species